rnacentral:snoRNA from 1 species
UUGCACAAAAUUUAUUUAAAAUCUGGAGGAAAAUUGCCCCAUGUGCAAUAGCAGCCUCCUUGGUAGUGCAUGCAGCCUGCUGCUUGUAUGGGUUGCCCUAGGGGACCUUGGAGAUGGCC